UGGGGAAUUUUGGACAAUGGACGAAAGUCUGAUCGAGCGACGCCGCGUGCAGGAUGAAGGUCUUAGGACUGUAAACUGCUUUUCUUAGGGAAAAAGUUAUUGAUUGUACCUAGGGAAUAAGGGGCUGCAAACUUCGUGCCAGCAGCAGCGGUAAUACGAAGGCCCCGAGCGUUAUCCGGAUUUAUUGGGCGUAAAGAGUGCGCAGGAGGUCCUGCACGUCUUGUGUUAAAUGUCACUGCUUAACAGUGUCACCGCAUGAGAUACGACAGGACUAGAGGAUGUUAGAGGUUACUGGAACUCAUGGUGUAGGGGUGAAAUCCGUUGAUAUCAUGGGGAAUACCAAAGGCGAAGGCAUGUAACUGGAACAUUCCUGACUCUCAUGCACGAAAGCGUGGGGAGCAAAAAGG
rnacentral:rRNA from 1 species